rnacentral:rRNA from 1 species
UACGUAGGUGGCAAGCGUUGUUCGGAAUUAUUGGGCGUAAAGGGCGCGUAGGCGGUUUGCUAAGUCAGUUGUGAAAGCCCGGGGCUCAACCCCGGAGGGUCGGCUGAUACUGGUGGACUAGAGUACGGAAGAGGUAGCUGGAAUUCCCGGUGUAGCGGUGAAAUGCGCAGAUAUCGGGAGGAACACCUAUGGCGAAGGCAGCUCGCUGGGACGUUACUGACGCUGAGACGCGAAAGCGUGGGGAGCAAACAGG